rnacentral:rRNA from 1 species
GAUGAACGCCGGCGGUGUGCCUAAUACAUGCAAGUUGUACGCAACUGGCCCAACUGAUUAAUGGUGCUUGCACCUGAUUGACGAUGGAUCACCAGUGAGUGGCGGACGGGUGAGUAACACGUAGGUAACCUGCCCCGGAGCGGGGGAUAACAUUUGGAAACAGAUGCUAAUACCGCAUAACAACAAAAGCCACAUGGCUUUUGUUUGAAAGAUGGCUUCGGCUAUCACUCUGGGAUGGACCUGCGGUGCAUUAGCUAGUUGGUAAGGUAACGGCUUACCAAGGCGAUGAUGCAUAGCCGAGUUGAGAGACUGAUCGGCCACAAUGGAACUGAGACACGGUCCAUACUCCUACGGGAGGCAGCAGUAGGGAAUCUUCCACAAUGGGCGCAAGCCUGAUGGAGCAACACCGCGUGAGUGAAGAAGGGUUUCGGCUCGUAAAGCUCUGUUGUUGGAGAAGAACGUGCGUGAGAGUAACUGUUCACGCAGUGACGGUAUCCAACCAGAAAGUCACGGCU